CGAGAUCCGUCAAGAACUGUCAACAAAACAAAAAGAACUCACGUCAAUCGAAGCAAUUGUGAGGAGACCGAAGCUGUGCCUCAUGGAAGCUGUUCAGUUAUUGUGGAGCAUUGUGGAAAGGGGUCCGUACAUCAGCUUGACCGAUAAAUAUAAAAAUAUCGUGUUCGAAAUGUCGCUACUAAAUUUCCUUGUAAUUUUUUGCAUUUCGUGUUUCAUUUCGUUGUGGCUUUCGAUCGUGCUCUAUCAUGCCUACAUGAAAUAUAAACUCCAGCGCUACAACGAUAAUACAAAUGAGAAUAAGAAGGAGGACAAAUGCAAUGCAAGAGCGCAGAAGAAAUGUCAAGCGGGUGGCAGCCAAUUAGCUGGACACAAAGCUGGAGGUCAGCGAUGGCCCAAUCUCAGCCCCUAUUAUCAAUUCAUUCACCAAUCUGAGCAAUGAUUUGCCAGAACCAUGAACAAAUUAAGCCGAAGGGUUACUCCCACCUAUAUUCCAGAUUAGAAAGUCGAUCGACAUCAAAACAAACUCUUAGUACCUUCAACGACGACUGCUUCCAAGACUCAAGGAAACAAAAACAAAUCCACUUAUAUAAUAACUGCAAUACAUAGAUACUAUGAUAUUAUUAUCGAUGGAUGUUCAAAUAAUAUUUGCUUAUAUUUGAAGCCAUCAAAAGGACUUGUGAAUCCCGUGAAGGAGUCCCAUCAACCAGUAUAUUCGUUAUAAAUUAAACCAAACACUAAGUAGCUUCUAAGAACCAAGGGACCAAGGAAAAAGCCACAUAAAAAUAUACAAAAAUAUAUAUUGUGGUGUAAUCAUCGAUCGAUCGUCCAAACAAUAUUUUCUUUCAAUUAUGAAACAUGUUUGACACAUUAAUUUAAAUUUUUUGCAAAAGUAAAGCCUGUGAAACGAGUCUAAA